rnacentral:lncRNA from 1 species
GUCCGCGCGGACUCGGAAUGGUCCCAGACUUUGCGGGCGGCCUCCGUGUGCCAAAAUUAGGCCACGGGCACAGCCGCGCCCAAAAAUCAGCCCCCGAAGGUCGGGGCGCCAAGACCCCCCAGCGGAAAAAUGGCCAAAAAACGGGUGGGCUAUAGCCUUGGUGGGGGGCGUGGGCGAAGUUCGUCCGCCGGACUCGGAAUGGCCCCAGACUUUGCGGGCGGCCUCCGUGUGCCACAAAUACGCCACGGGCACAGCUGCGCCCAAAAAUCAGCCCCCGAUGGUCGGGGUGCCAAGACCCCCCAACGGAAAAAUGGCCAAAAAACGGGUGGGCUAUACCCUUGGUGGGGGGCGUGGGCGAAGUUCGUCCGCGCGGACUCGGAAUGGCCCCAGACUUUGCGGGCGGCCUCCGUGUGCCAAAAUUAGGCCACGGGCACAGCCGCGCCCAAAAAUCAGCCCCCGAAGGUCGGGGCGCCAAGACCCCCCAGCGGAAAAAUGGCCAAAAAACGGGUGGGCUAUAGCCUUGGUGGGGGGCGUGGGCGAAGUUCGUCCGCCGGACUCGGAAUGGCCCCAGACUUUGCGGGCGUCCUCCGUGUGCCAAAAUUAGGCCACGGGCACAGCCGUGCCCAAAAAUCAGCCCCCGAAGGUCGGGGCGCCAAGACGCCCCAGCGGAAGAAUGGCCAAAAAACGGGCUGGUAUUGCCUUGGUGGGGGGCGUGGGCGAAGUUCGUCCGCCGGACUCGGAAUGGCCCCAGACUUUGCGGGCGGCCUCCGUGUGCCAAAAAUAGGCCACGGGCACAGAUGCGCGCAAAAAUCAGCCCCCGAAGGUCGGGGCGCCAAGACCCCCCAGCGGAAAAAUGGCCAAAAAACGGAUGGGCUAUAGCCUUGGUGGGGGGCGUGGGCGACGUUCGUCCGCCGGACUCGGAAUGGCCCCAGACUUUGCGGGCGGCCUCCGUGUGCCAAAAUUAGGCCACGGGCACAGCUGCGUGCAAAAAUCAGCCACCGACGGUCGGGGCGCCAAGACCCCCCAGCGGAAAAUGACCAAAAAACGG